GGGGUCCCUUUCCACUGCAUGGGCCACGUGUCAUAUGACUCAGGAGCCUCCUUCAAUCCAUCUCCUCUCGCCCUCACCUGGCUAGCUUUCCCCUAGCCCCUCACCCCUCAACAGGCCCCAGUGUGUGAUAUUUACCUACCUGUGUUCAUGUGUUAUCAUUGUUCAAUUCCCACUUACGAAUGAGAACAUGCUGUGCUUGUUUUUCUGUUCCUGUGUCAGCUUACUGAGAAUGAUGGUUGGGGGAGGCCCUUUAAAACAUAAAAUUCUGAUAUUCUCAUUUUUUAAUCACCACAAAAAAUCAACUAACAUUUUUGCAAAAAAGGAAUAGUCCGUGUGAAAUUUUACACCAGCAUUUGAUUAUGGGACAGAAAUGGGAGAACCUUGGAAAUAGAUUUAUUCAAUUCUUUCAUUUUACAAAUGAGGAAACUGAAGUUCUAUUCCUUAACAUACAAUUUCUUAAGAGAAAAUGACAUCUCUAUAGCCAUUGACUCAAGUUUUAAUUUUGGGUGUCCAGAGCUCAGCCUUUGCCUCCGUUAACACAGCAUAUCAGAAAACACCCGAGCUUUGUGUUUUGAGGAGUGUUUCUUUCUGUUUGAGCCGUGUCCUCUGCAGGAACAAUUUAGAAGUAGAUAAUGGUGUUAUCCACCCCCAGAGAUGAUGACUUAAUUGGUCUGGAGUAUAGCUUGGGCAUUGGGCUUUUAAAACACUUUCCAUGUGAUUUUAAUGUGCUAACAGACCCAUUCCUAGGGCUGUACUGUGCUCAGAACCUUAGGUGAAAGCUUGUUAUAAUCUUAGAGUCAGAUGUGACUCAGGUGUUUUGGAUUUUAAUAGACACCAGGUGCAGGAUCCCCUUCUAAGAACAGCGUAAGUAUGCGGUAUCCGUCGCUCUUGGCCUACCGCCUGUGUGGACCUGCGGAGGUCUUACAGGGUAAUUUCUGCUGCUGGGGAAACAGCCUUUCUGUGCAUCGACUUUCAAUGACCUUCCAGCCGUGAUUCCCUCCUGGCCUUCACCUGCAGAUGUCUGCCUGCCUGUUCUUGCCGGCUGGCUCGGCAGAAACACUCAUGCCAUCUGUGCUGGGCUGUCUGGACCAAGAAGAUUUGGACAGCCGGCGGACUUUCCUGUGGAGUCAAAGGCCAGCCGUGCUGCCCUGGCUCAGAGCAAAGAUUUUUUAGGUAGCUCUACCUCCAUAGAGCAACUUCUCACAUUGUGCCUUAGAAGAGGCACAGAAUUAUCAGGUAAAAGGAAGAGUCUGCUAGCUUUAAAUACUGUGACUUUCUGAAGAAGAAGAAACUACAUUAUCAGAGAAGUACACAUCAAAAAUAACAAGUGGAAUUCAAUUGGUUUGAAGCAAGAGGAAGAACUAGGACACUAACAUCCAUCUGCAAGGCCUCUGCUACCAGCUUUGUAUGUGUUGUCUCAUUUACAUCUCCAAACAGCUUUAUGUGGUAAUUAUUAAUGUUUCUACAUUUUUUGUUGUUUUUAUGAGAUUGAGUCUCACUCUGUCAC
rnacentral:lncRNA from 1 species